rnacentral:rRNA from 3 species
UACGAAGGACCCGAGCGUUAUCCGGAUUUAUUGGGUUUAAAGGGUGCGUAGGCGUCCUGGAAAGUUACGGUUGAAAUCUCCUUGCUCAACAAGGAAACUGGCCGUAAAACUAUCAGGAUUGAGUACAUUUGAAGCGGGCGGAAUGUGUCAUGUAGCGGUGAAAUGCUUAGAUAUGACACAGAACACCAAUUGCGAAGGCAGCUCGCUAAACUGUAACUGACGCUGAGGCACGAAAGCGUGGGGAUCAAACAGG